AGAUAAUCUAAUUUACAAUUUAUUGGCUAUCAUUUUUUUAAAUUUGUGGUUUUAAGUAGGGGGUUCAAUAUACCGCAGGGGGGUCAAAAAUACCAUGGCUAAGCAAAAUUUUCAAAAUAUCUUUUCCAGCAUUUUUAACACAUACAAACCACUUAUUGGAGUAUUAUAACUAUGUUAAGGGGUUAGAAUAGCUUGAAUUUUUGAAAUUCAAGGUCUAUAGUAGGGGGUUCAAUAUACCGCAGGGGGGUCAAAAUACCAUGGCUAAGUAAAAUUUUACAAAUAUCUUUUCCAGUAUAUUAAAUACAUACAAACUACUUAUUGGAGUAAUUAUAACUAUGUUAAGGAGUUAGAAUAGCUUCAAUUUUUGAAAUUCAAGGUCUAUAGUAGGGGGUUCAAUAUACCGCAGGGGGGUCAAAAUACCAUGGCUAAGUAAAAUUUUCAAAAUAUCUUUUCCAGUAUAUUAAAUACAUACAAACUACUUAUUGGAGUAUUAUAACUAUGUUAAGGAGUUAGAAUAGCUUGAAUUUUUGAAAUUCAAGGUCUAUAGUAGGGGUUCAAUAUACCGCAGGGGGUCAAAAUACCAUGGCUAAGUAAAAUUUUCAAAAUAUCUUUCCAGUAUAUUAAAUACAUACAAACUACUUAUUGGAGUAU
rnacentral:lncRNA from 1 species